rnacentral:rRNA from 1 species
CAUCUUUUUAGAUGGUGACAAAGUAGACUUGAUUGAAAGUUUUGCACUACCAUUGGUGGGCAAGGUGGUGUGCAAGAUGAAAUAAUGAAACACUUAAUGACUUGCCUACAAAUGUCGAAGAUUGGUUGAUGUUCAAAAUAUCGAAUGUUUUGCUUUCUUUCGAGAAAGCAAUCACCACAAGCGAUGCUCAGGCUUGUUAUAAAAAUGAUUGUCGGUGUACAGUGAAUCACUUGGCUCGCAGAUCGAGGAAGAACAUUGCCAUAUGUGGUAAUUUCUGUGAACUGCAGGUCACAAAGAACAGAGAGUUUUUGAACGCAAAUGACAGUUGUAGGUGUGAGCCUACAACUACAUCCGUCUGAGGUUCAUUUAACCCAUUAUAAAGUUAGCCUUUAAUAAAGGCUUUUUAUCGGUUGAGACAAAUUGCACAUUGAUGACUAGACUAAAACUGUAUUAGUCGGUCGCAAGAUGUAUCAAACCUUGACAUUGAUGCCGUGCUGCGGUUUACAAAGAAUUGAUAACGUUGUGCAAUUGCGGCAAUGCUAACGCAAUAAGAAGCCUCAGAUCGGGUGAGACAAUCCGCCGAAUUUAAGCAUAUUAAUAAGCGGAAGAAGAGAAACCAACCGGGAUUCUAUAAGUAAUGGCGAAUGAACAUAGAGAGGUCAUCAUUGAAUUCCUCCGCAGUGUGUGGAUGGAAAGUGUAAUGUUUGUGCGGUUUAUGCAUUAUGCCAGCAUGCGGUGUAAGUUUGAUUGAACGUGACAUGCCCAGAGAGGGUGAAAGGCCCGUUACGCUGCUUGUCUGGUAUUCUCAUAACUGCGUUGGAGUAGGAUUGCUUGAGAGUGCAGUUCGAAUGAUGUGUGGCAAACCCCAUACAAACCUAAAUAUGGCUGCGAGACCGAUAGCGUACAAGUACCAUGAGGGAAAGUUGAAAAGCACUCUGAAAAGAGAGUUCAUAAGAGCGUGCAACUGUACUCUGCAAAGCGAAUGGUCGGGUGAUAUGAACAAUUGUCAUUCAGAUGUUUUGUGAAAGUAAUGACUGUCGAUUAUUUAUGAUCGUUUGAAUGUUACGAAAUGUCGUAUUUGACAAUGUUAAAGGUUGCCCGGUGUGUUGAUGGUAGCGCGGUGUUGUGUUGGAUUGGACUAUCUUUUGAUAAAUCCAUGAGAACUACAUCGUCGUGUCGAAGGAAUUUGACUGCUAACAUUGGCGCACUGUAAGAAAACAGCUAGACUUGAUGAAUCCACCGGGCGUGCAGCGGGCUUAUUAGUCUGUUGACACGCUUGUGGAGAACAUGUUCAAUGGUUCAGUAAGGGCAGCAUCUUUACUAUGGACCAUUCGAACCGUCUUGAAACACGGACUAAGGAGUUCAACUCGAACGCGAGUCGUUUUUCGCAAUGAAAUUUAAAGGCAAAGUGAAGACGACUCUUUUUGAGAUGCGAACAGAUGCAUGUUGAUGUUGAUGGUAAGCACGAGUGAUGAGUGACACAUUUGAACUGGAUGAUCACUGCACCUGAGCGUUCAGGUUGAGACCCGAAAGAUGGUGAACUAUGCCUGAGUAGAAUGAAG